rnacentral:rRNA from 1 species
UACGGAGGGUGCAAGCGUUGUCCGGAAUCACUGGGCGUAAAGGGCGCGUAGGCGGCUUGGUAAGUAGGGGGUGAAAUCCUGCGGCUUAACCGCAGGGCUGCCUUCUAAACUGCCAGGCUUGAGCACAGUAGAGGCAGGUGGAAUUCCCGGUGUAGCGGUGGAAUGCGUAGAGAUCGGGAAGAACAUCAGUGGCGAAGGCGGCCUGCUGGGCUGUUGCUGACGCUGAGGCGCGACAGCGUGGGGAGCAAACAGG